rnacentral:rRNA from 1 species
UAAACGACGUGAGGAACCUGCCUCAAAGAGGGGGACAACAGUUGGAAACGACUGCUAAUACCGCAUAAGCCCACAGCUCGGCAUCGAGCAGAGGGAAAAGGAGCAAUCCGCUUUGAGAUGGCCUCGCGUCCGAUUAGCUAGUUGGUGAGGUAACGGCCCACCAAGGCGACGAUCGGUAGCCGGACUGAGAGGUUGAACGGCCACAUUGGGACUGAGACACGGCCCAG